rnacentral:tRNA from 1 species
GUCCCUGUAGUACAAUGGAUAGCACGUUGGACUUCUAAUCCAAAGGUCGUGGGUUCGAAUCCCACCUGGGAUG